rnacentral:tRNA from 1 species
GCUUGGGUAGCUCAGUUGGUAGAGCACUUGCCUGUUAAAGGCAAGGGUCCCGAGUUCGAGUCUCGGUCCAGAACA